GGUUUCAGAAUAAACACUAUGGUAUCAAGUGCUGCUGAAGGUAAUGCUACCAACCAAUAAUUGUCAUUCUGGAGUUCCUUUACUCUCUUCCAUCCACGGUCAAGAUUUUCCUAACAUAUGAGACAAAGCUGUGCCUAAAGUGAAUAAUUGAUUAUUCAACGAGUGAAGAAGACAUAAGCUAAGAACAAGAUGCACUUGUUGUUGAAGAAAAACAUCCAACAAAGGAAGUUUAAAAGAACCCAGAUGAAUAUUUUUUCAGAUGGGCCACAAAUAAGUUAUAAAUUCACCGUGUUCUACAACUUCCCAGAGCUGAGAAACUAAAGACAGUUCUACAAUAUCACAUUUCAAAGGCGUCACAGGGCUUAGCUGCUAAUGCAACAAAGUGGUAUUUGUCUCAGGAAGCAUACAACAUCGUGAAUAACAUCGUCCUCAGGAAAGAAUGAGCCAAUAGGCACCAUUUCAUGUUGCAACGGAGCAGCCGGCUUGAUUGUGAACGCAGAUCUGCCCACUCCACUCAAGCUGACAUUUUGUACAGACUAGAAGGCAUAUGUGGUAUGAGAUCAAUAAAGAAGUAA